rnacentral:tRNA from 1 species
UAGCUCAGCUUGGUAGAGCACAUGGUUUGGGACCAUGGGGUCGCAGGUUCGAAUCCU